GUGGGGAAUAUUGGGCAAUGGGGGCAACCCUGACCCAGCAACGCCGCGUGAGGGAAGAAGGUUUUCGGAUUGUAAACCUCUGUCCUAUGGGAAGAAGGAAGUGACGGUACCAUAGGAGGAAGCCCCGGCUAACUACGUGCCAGCAGCCGCGGUAAUACGUAGGGGGCGAGCGUUGUCCGGAAUUACUGGGCGUAAAGGGUGCGCAGGUGGCCUGACAAGUCAGAUGUGAAAUACCGAUGCUUAACGUCGGGGCUGCAUUUGAAACUAUGAGGCUGGAGUGCAGGAGAGGGAAGCGGAAUUCCUAGUGUAGCGGUGAAAUGCAUAGAUAUUAGGAGGAACACCAGUGGCGAAGGCGGCUUUCUGGACUGUAACUGACACUGAGGCACGAAAGCGUGGGGAGCAAACAGGAUUAGAAACCCUAGUAGUCC
rnacentral:rRNA from 1 species